GAUAAACGCUGGCGGCGCACAUAAGACAUGCAAGUCGAACGGAAGUCGUUACGAAACGGAAUGCAAGAUUUAUCUUAAAUGAAGUUUUGUAACAAUGGCUUUAGUGGCGGACUGGUGAGUAACACGUAAGCAACCUGCCUAUUAGAGGGGAAUAACAAUGAGAAAUCAUUGCUAAUACCGCAUAAGCUUGUAGUAUCGCAUGGUACAGCAAGAAAAGGAGUAAUCCGCUAAUAGAUGGGCUUGCGGCUGAUUAGCUAGUUGGUGUGGUAACGGCAUACCAAGGCAACGAUCAGUAGCCGGGCUGAGAGGCUCUGCGGCCACAUUGGGACUGAGAUACGGCCCAG
rnacentral:rRNA from 1 species